CAAGUAGAACGAACGCUGGCGGCAAGCCUAACACAUGCAAGUCGAACGGUCAAUUAUUUAUUAGCCUCUGGCUAUAGGAAAUUGUUAGUGGCAGACGGGUGAGUAAUGCGUAGGAAUCUACCUAGUAGUACGGAAUAGCCAUUAGAAAUGGUGGGUAAUACUGUAUAAUCCCCGAGGGGGAAAGAUUUAUCGCUAUUAGAUGAGCCUACGUUAGAUUAGCUAGUUGGUGAGGUAAUGGCUUACCAAGGCUAUGAUCUAUAGCUGGUCUGAGAGGACGAUCAGCCACACUGGAACUGAGAUACGGUCCAGACUCCUACGGGAGGCAGCAGUGGGGAAUAUUGGACAAUGGGCGAAAGCCUGAUCCAGCUAUGCCGCGUGAGUGAAGAAGGCCUUCGGGUUGUAAAACUCUUUCAAUAGGGAAGAUAAUGACGGUACCUAUAA
rnacentral:rRNA from 1 species